ensembl:lncRNA
AUGGGAAAGACCUGCCUGAAGGACUCCACUGUGCUGACCAUGUUCUGUCUCCAAGAGCAAAGAAGAAAAAUGAAUCACUCGGUUGUCGUCACCAAAGUGGAUGAUGUGGACGUCAGCUGCUGCGCUUCCUCACGGAGUGGAAACAGUGGAAGAAGGCUUUUCCACCACAGUCCACCAGCCAAACACAGCUUGCCAAGGUCUGCAGCUCUCUGGACACCUUGACGGACACACUCAUCACCAUGUCCACAUUGUGAUUAUAGGAUUAAAAUUAAUAAACACCUAGUUUUCAAAAAAUACUGUAGAUUCCUGUAAUUUAAAACAUCAGCAUACUGUUUGGUGCCUCUAUCCUGUUGCUUCAAGUUAAGCUACCCACAAUGCAUUGUUAACUACAGUACUAAACCAUUUUACAUGAAAACAGUAUUUUAGUGUUGAAAAUUGGCUGUAAAUUUACUGCAAUAAUUUACAGUGUAGGUGACAAAACCAUGUAAAGUAAAUUCAAUCAGAUCCAAAAUCACAUAGUAUUGAGGUGGGAAUAAUGCUACACAAAUAAAUAAGUCCAAACUAGGUUCUGACGAUCACUGUUGUGAUCACUAUUCACAGGUCAUGGUUCCCCCUCCUUUUGAUUAGCACAACGGCACCGAUGAGAGCGAACAGUUGCCAUGGAGAAACAUGCAAUCAGCUGGUGUUUCUCUCCCUUUCACUGCAUGUACCCUCCCCUCAAUCUCUUCCUCUGACUGUAGACACUACAGGCCCUGUUGUAGUCAGAUAGUGAGGGAGCAUUUGCAGUGUGGGAGGGAGGAUCUCAGAUGUUCAUGUUGGAGAACUCAUCUCCUGUUCCGGUCCUAGGUAAGCUUCAAUACUUCUCCAGAUCUCCCUUUCUUUUGGCUGCCAUUACGCAAACUAAGCUCAUUUGCCCCCCACUCCCAAGAGAACCAUGAUCUGCCUUUUGUUCGGGGCCCCAAACUUCCAUUCAUGUUCCCCAGGAGAGUAGACAAAAGAGGAAGAGACACAGGCCUGAACCCUUUGCCCAGACAGACUGCGUAAAGCGACCAUAAAGAGAUGACGGGCUUGAAUGGAGACCUUUAGCCUUAACUACUUAACAUUGCUUCUGUCUGUGGGGGUGUUCUCAUUUACUUUGUGCAUCUUAACAUUUCUUUGACUUAUAGCAUAAAAUAUUGCUCUGAAAGCUCGGUUCACUGCAACUAAAGAAAAUACAAACAAUGCAACCAAAUACAGAAAUGUGCUACAAAUACAUGUAUAACAAUUGAAUAAAGAAAAGCAUCAUCUUGACAACACCUAUAUGCAGUACAAAAGCAUAUAGUUGUAAAAAGAACAAGUAUAAAUGUCAAUGCUGAUAAUUACAAGCAAAUACAUCAAAGCACUUAAAAAUAUGUGACAACACAACCAAAUAUACCACACACACACAAAACACUAAACAAAUAAUAAAAUGCACUGGAAAUUCAGCCAACACAAGCAAAUGCACAAACAUUGCAAUUUGAGCAAAGUUAAAAAAAAAAAGUUUCCAGGGGAUGUUCACACUGCUGAACACCAAGCCACCAGGAUCAGCACUGCUCUGUGAAUUGAUACAGGUGUUGCAAGGGUUACAUUUAGCACAUUGGCCCAAAACCGCUUUUCACAUUCACAAUCACACUAGUCGGAGUGGCUGUAAUAGGAUGAAAAUAUUUAUGAAUAAAUGUGUUGCAAAAAUAAUUAAUUUAAACUAAUUACACACAAACAUUUGUAUUGUUGUUGUCCUUAUUGACAACAGAAUUUUAACAAUUACAGUGUGGUUUGGUCAAAAAGUGCAUUGACAGCCUCUGUCUGAAACACUUGGUUUUAGGUCCUGUCUCUUUAAGAACCCCCUCCAAAUGAAGUCCAUUCUGCUCUGACUGGCCAGCUUACCUACUCUGAUGUGAUUGGUCAACCACUUCCAGUGCAUGUAAGAAGUGUCCACUUCAGCUUUUGCUUUACCUGGCAUUGUUUGGGGGUUUGCCAGAUUAGCCUCUAGGCACUUCUCUAACAUCGUGAAAUCACAGUGAAUUGGCUGGACUUCUGAUGAGGCAUUUCAAGAGUUUCAGGAGUAGACGCUCAAAAGUGCAAGAAUUAAUAAAGUACAAGUGGUUCAAGUACUUAUUUGUAAUUAAGUGUUUUUGUGUGUUUAAUAUAACAAAUUCAGGGAGUAAGGUGCAGUCUGAACAGGUGAGUUUUCAGUUCUGCUGUCCUGAUGCCAAUGCGGAGCUCGUUCCACCAUAAAGGAACCCGGACAGAAAACAGAUGGGAUUUAGAUGAGCGGUGGCUGGCCGCCCCUCGCAGUGAGGGAUUAGCAAGCGGAGUGGUUGGGCUGGGGUGUAGAGUUUGACCAUUUCAUCCUGGAUGUAGGAUGGGCCUGAACCAUUCGCAGCACGGUAGGCGAGUACCAGUGCCUUGAAUCGUAAUCGAGAGACCACCGGAAUUCUGUGCAGUGUGGGAGGAGCACUGUAGUGUGGGAUAACUUGGGUAGAUUUAAGUCCACCGGGGUUGUCCAGUGUCACACCCAGGUUCCUUCCAGGUUCAUCUGCGUAGCUAUGGUAGGAAAAGCCAUGUGAGUGAAUGACAGAGCCUAAUGACCUGAGGAAGGGGCCCAGAAAAGAGCCCUGAGGGACCCCAGUAGUGAGGUUGCAGGGUUCGAACAUCGAUUCUCUCCAAGUAACCCUGUAAGUGCGGCCCUUGAGGUAGGAUGCAAAUAGGGAGAGUGCUGAGCCUGAGAUUCCCAGUUGUUGGAGGGUGGAGAGUAGGAUCUGGUGGUUCACUGUGUCUAAAGCUGCUGAGAGGUCGAACAGGAUGACAACAGAGGAGAGGGAGGCUGCUCAAGCUGUGUGGAGUUCCUCUGUGACACCUAGGAGGGCAGUCUCUGUUGAGUGCCCUGCUUUGAAUCCAGAUUGGUGGGGGUCAAUAAGGUUGUUCUGGUGGAGAUAUGCAUAAAGUUGAGUUAAGACGUUCAAGAGUUUUUGAAAGACAUGGAAGAAGAGAGUAGUUUAUCACAUCAGAUGGGUUGAGUGCAGGUUUCUUUAAAAAAGGAUUCACUCUUGCUGCUUUAAGAGUGUUGGGAAAGUAACCUGUUGUCAGAGAGGUAUUGAUGAGGUGGAUGAGGAACGGAAGGUGGUCAGGAGCAAUACACUGAAGAAGGUGAAAGGGGAUAGGAUCAAGGGGGCAUGUGGUGGGGCGGUGGGGUGUGACCAAGGAUAGUAGCUCACUGGGAGGGAGUGGUGAAAAAGCGACUAGCGAAGGAGAUGAGGAGGAGGGUGAAGGACAGGUAGUGUCAGUAGGGGGUCAAGAAAUGAGGAGUGAAUGUCAUCUAUCUUUUUUGCAAAGUAGUUUACAAAGUCGCUCGGAGGAAGGGAGGAGGAAGAGCGGGGAGCUCGAGGAGGUUAGAGAAAAUGGAAAAAAGUUUCUUGGGGUCGAAGAGGGAAGAUUGAAUUUUAGAUUCAAAGAAAGA